ACUCCUACGGGAGGCAGCAGUGAGGAAUAUUGGACAAUGGAGGCAACUCUGAUCCAGCCAUGCCGCGUGCAGGAAGACUGCCCUAUGGGUUGUAAACUGCUUUUAUACGGGAAGAAACAGCUCUACGUGUAGAGCCUUGACGGUACCGUAAGAAUAAGCACCGGCUAACUCCGUGCCAGCAGCCGCGGUAAUACGGAGGGUGCAAGCGUUAUCCGGAAUCAUUGGGUUUAAAGGGUCCGUAGGCGGACGAUUAAGUCAGAGGUGAAAGUCUGCAGCUCAACUGUAGAAUUGCCUUUGAUACUGGUUGUCUUGAAUUAUUGUGAAGUGGUUAGAAUAAGUAGUGUAGCGGUGAAAUGCAUAGAUAUUACUUAGAAUACCAAUUGCGAAGGCAGAUCACUAACAAUAUAUUGACGCUGAGGGACGAAAGCGUGGGAGCGAACAGGAUUAGAUACCCCUGGUAGCGACUGA
rnacentral:rRNA from 1 species